CACACAGCUCAGUAACACGUUGCUAAUCUGCCCUUGGGACGAAAACAACCCCGGGAAACUGGGGCUAAUUCUCGAUAGGCGAAGAACACUGGAAUGUGUCUUCACCUAAAUGGUGCAAGGUAAUGCUCUUUGCAUUGCCCAAGGAUGAGGCCGCGGCCGAUCAGGUUGUUGGUGAGGUAAUGGCUCACCAAGCCUUUUACCGGUGCGGGCCGUGGGAGCGGGAGCCCGGAGAUGGGUACUGAGACAAGGACCCAGGCCCUACGGGGCGCAGCAGUCGCGAAAACUUUGCAAUAGGCGAAAGCCUGACAGGGCUAUCCCGAGUGCCAUCCGCUGAGGAAGGCUUUUACCCAGUCUAGAACGCUGGGGGAAUAAGGAGAGGGCAAGUCUGGUGUCAGCCGCCGCGGUAAUACCAGCUCUCCGAGUGGUGUGGAUGUUUAUUGGGCCUAAAGCAUCCGUAGCUGGCUAAGUUAGUCCCUUGUUAAAUCCACCGAAUUAAUCGUUGGAUUGCGGGGGAUACUGCUUGGCUAGGGGACGAGAGAGGCAGACGGUAUUUUCGGGGUAGGGGUGAAAUCCUAUAAUCCCGGGAAGACCACCAGUGGCGAAGGCUGUCUGCUAGAACGCGCCCGACGGUGAGGGAUGAAAGCUGGGGGGGCGAACC
rnacentral:rRNA from 1 species